CUUUUCUCUAGCCAUUUUCAGCUAUGGGAAAGUAAGUGGGGGGGGGGGGGUGCUAUCCAAAAUGGAUUUCCAAAGAGCUGCAUCCCAAGUAUGUGAAGUAUCGUUAACCGAUAACGUGGUGAACAUAUUAUUCCAUUUGCUCGAUUCGAAUCGUGACGGGAGCCUAAGCUCGGACGAGUUUGUUCGAGUGGUGGAGCGGAGG